rnacentral:misc_RNA from 1 species
UAAUAAGAUGUUUUAUGGCACUUUUUAAAUCCAUAUCCACCUUGUGUGCAAUGUCAGGUCGAUCUCCUUUUCUUGAGGCAUCGAGACCAAACAUCAACCUUUAUCUUUGUAACUCUUUGUCUGAAAAAUAUUAUGGAAUAACACAAUUCAAAAUA